CCCCUCCUUUCUUUACUUGUGAAGGAGUCUUUUUUUUUUUUUUUCUCUUUUCUUCCUGGACCUUUGUUUUCCUCUUAAGUCAUUGCUGAGGUAUUUGCAAACCAAGCCAGCACUUAUGCUUUAUUCACCAAAAGAGAACAAAGCAUCUGCAAAUAGAAGCGGGCUGAUAAACACUGGAAACGCGCGGGCGGAAGUCGGAGGACUCCUUCCUUAUCCUCACCUGCCAUCGGGCUGCAUCCCAACCUCUCUCAACUCUCUCACUCCUCUCAUCUGCGAAAUGGGGUCAAUAGAGGAUUUUCUCUGCGAGCUGUCAGGAACGUCUGGUGAGUUUCACAUUCUUGGUCACACCGCCAGCUCCUAGGUUGGAGCUCCAGCACCACUGGAGAGUGCACGGGGCAAGGCCCCUUGGAGAAAGCACAGAAGUACAAGACUCAGCUUGGGCCGUCGAAUCUUGGAAAGCCAUCUCAAGGAAGAAACAGGAUGCCGCUGUCAAGGGAAGGAAAAGGGCCCCACUUCUGGGAAUCACUUCUGCUUUUCUGAAGACGAAGAAGG